rnacentral:rRNA from 1 species
GACGAACGCUGGCGGCGUGCUUAACACAUGCAAGUCGAACGGAAAGGCCCUGCUUUUGUGGGGUGCUCGAGUGGCGAACGGGUGAGUAACACGUGAGUAACCUGCCCUUGACUUUGGGAUAACUUCAGGAAACUGGGGCUAAUACCGGAUAGGAGCUCCUGCUGCAUGGUGGGGGUUGGAAAGUUUCGGCGGUUGGGGAUGGACUCGCGGCUUAUCAGCUUGUUGGUGGGGUAGUGGCUUACCAAGGCUUUGACGGGUAGCCGGCCUGAGAGGGUGACCGGCCAAAGUGGGAGUGAGGUCCGGCCCAGACGCGUGGGGGAGGAGGAAGUGGGUGAUAUAGCGACGGGGGGGGAAGCGUGACGAAGCCACGGCGUGGGAGGGAUGACGGCCGUGGGUUUGUACUCCGCUGGCGCGGGGGACGAAGCGUGAGUUGCGGUAGUAGCUAGAGAACCCGCGGAUACCGAUGUGCCAGAAGCGGCGGUAAGAAUGAAGAGCACAGGGUUGACC